AGAGGAAGGAGAAGUCGUAACAAGGUUUCCGUAGGUGAACCUGCGGAAGGAUCAUUGUCGAAAUCGAACGGAAGAACGACCCGCGAAUCGUCAUUGCGUACUAGACAGAGCCCGUGAGCACCCAACGCUCAUGGGACUCGCGUCGCGUCGGCGUGGGUGUACUCGAGACCAGCGUCGUACCGGCGGACAAACAACUUCAGCACGGAUCGUGCCAAGGAGCUGCAUGGAGAGAAUCGUCGUCCCACGCCUUUGAUAGUCCUCGAUGCGGGACGGGGGGCGGGGGAUGUACGCAAUCUCUACUAAAAGUCUAAACAACUCUCGGCAACGGAUAUCUCGGCUCUUGCAUCGAUGAAAAACGUAGCGAAAUGCGAUACUUGGUGUGAAUUGCAAAAUCCCGCGAACCAUCAAUUCUUUGAACGCAAGUUGCGCCCGAAGCCAUUCGGCCGAGGGCACGCCUGCCUGGGUGUCGUGAAUCCCCUUGCCCCUAGGCACCCGCAUGGCGGGGAUAUAUGCUCGGGCGCAGAAUAUGGUCUCCCGUGGGAUCGGCAUGCACGGCAUGUCGAGGUGCGGUUGGCCUAAAAUCGAACAAUGGCGGUGACGGGCACCACGGCGUUCGGUGGAUCGAAUGAGAUUGGCUGCGCCUUGGGCUCGGCAUUAGGCGGGCUCCGGACUUUGANUUUCCCGAGUGCGAUCCCAGGUCAGGGGGGCUACCCCUGAUUUAGCUUAUCAUNAGCGA
rnacentral:rRNA from 1 species